CAGUCGCCACGGUAAUACGUAGGGUGCGAGCGUUGUCCGGAAUUACUGGGCGUAAAGAGCUCGUAGGCGGUUUGUCGCGUCGUCUGUGAAAUUCUGCAGCUUAACUGUAGGCGUGCAGGCGAUACGGGCAGACUUGAGUACUACAGGGGAGACUGGAAUUCCUGGUGUAGCGGUGAAAUGCGCAGAUAUCAGGAGGAACACCGGUGGCGAAGGCGGGUCUCUGGGUAGUAACUGACGCUGAGGAGCGAAAGCGUGGGUAGCGAACAGGAUUAGAUACCCCCGUAGUCCCUGUCUCUUAUAC
rnacentral:rRNA from 1 species